GAUGAAGAACGUAGCGAAAUGCGAUAAGUAAUGUGAAUUGCAGAACUCAGUGAAUCAUCGAAUCUUUGAACGCACAUUGCGCCCCCUGGCAUUCCGGGGGGCAUGCCUGUCCGAGCGUCAUUUCUGCCCUCAAGCACGGCUUGUGUGUUGGGUGUGGUCCCCCCGGGGACCUGCCCGAAAGGCAGCGGCGACGUCCGUCUGGUCCUCGAGCGUAUGGGGCUCUGUCACUCGCUCGGGAAGGACCUGCGGGGGUUGGUCACCACUAUAUUUUACCACGGUUGACCUCGGAUCAGGUAGGAGUUACCCGCUGAACUUAAGCAUAUCAAUAAGCGGAGGA
rnacentral:misc_RNA from 1 species